rnacentral:rRNA from 1 species
UACGGGGGGGGCAAGCGUUGUUCGGAAUUACUGGGCGUAAAGGGCUCGUAGGUGGCCAACUAAGUCAGACGUGAAAUCCCUCGGCUUAACCGGGGAACUGCAUCUGAUACUGGAUGGCUUGAGAUUGGGAGAGGGAUGCGGAAUUCCAGGUGUAGCGGUGAAAUGCGUAGAUAUCAGGAAGAACACCCGUGGCGAAGGCGGCUCUCUGGGACGGUACUGACGCUGAGACGCGAAAGCGUGGGGAGCGAACAGG